UGAUCAUCACGCGACGCGAAUUGUUUGUAUUUUGGAGUUCUUUUGGAGUUCUUGGAGUGAGUCUAUCGACAUUUGGAUUAACGUUACAUUGAGUGCAGUACUUGAUUGGUGUUGGAGUAUUUUCUAGUACAUCAAGAAGUACUACAUUUCCCAUUUACAGUGCACAAUGGACAACAUGUGGGCAUACAGUGAGCGAAGUAACAUGCGAAAAAGGGCUGCUAGAAGAGUAAAUAAGAUGUUUGAGUCUUUUGGAAAAAGAAAUAAGUUGUCAGCCUGAAAAUAGGCCAACUUUAGAUGGCCUACAAACGGAUCUGCAGUCAGAGGCAGAGCCUGACCCCCCGAGAGCACCAAAACUGAAAACGAAACGAACCCGGCGUCUAUUGGACGACUACGAUACAGAUGAGGAGGCCAUUGCACCGAAAAAUUUGCCGCAAGCUCCAUACAUACAACCACUAUCAAAAAGAGCUUGCUCCGCUUUAGAUGAGGUUCAACCAAGUUCUCUACAACACAGACCCCAAAGGUCCCCAUCUGUGACACAGGUUCCAGGGACCUCAAGACAGGCGUUGAUGGAAAGAAGCCCUACCUCUCAAUGGCAGAACUUUCCUAGAGAAAGUGCUCUAGGAAAGUCGUUACGGCAAGCAAUAGACCUAUCUGCACAGUCACCAGCUCAGACUCUUUUCCAGACUGCCCAUCAGAUGGGUCCAGAAGCAGAAAAUUAUAGUCAAUUGUCGUGGCAAAGAGGAUCAAUGCUACAAUCUCCCGAGGAGCCAACACAACCUCUGUGGCAUCGUGAAACACCCGGAAGAAGCUAUUCAAUGGAUGAUCCAUUCAAAAAAUCACUUCUUCAUGAUGUGUUAACCAAGCUUGAAGUCAUUAUGGAGCAGCAAAGAAACAUUUGGAAGAUUUAAGGUCCCUAACUUCCCUUGAAAGUAAUCUUCGAUCCAGUCCUGAAACAAGACGGAAAGUGGUAAUUGAACUUGGAUUGCUUGGUGGGGUGGAUGCUAAGGACAAAAUUUGGCGUAUAAUGAAACAGACAAUAAAAAAUGACUUUGCAAAAACGAUGAACUGGAAAGGCGCAAAUGGAAAAACACCAUUCCAAGGUCUUGAACUGAAAAAUGUUGUGAUUGAGGCUGUGAGACGAAACCCUGCAUGCUCUCAGACAACAGAGCUAGAAGUCGAAAAGGUUAUUAGGCGGUGGUUUUAUCUGGCUGGUGAUCGGGAGGGUGGCAGGAAAAAAAGAACACCAUUGCAAAGAUUUUAUGCAAACCAUUCCCUUACCCCUUUUCUGUUUACAACCAGCUUUUGUUUGCCUAAUUGUUAGUAUCCUUUUAUGUUGUUGCUUUUAUUCACUUACUUGAUUUGCUCAUUUGUAUUUAAUUUGUCUCUUAAAACCAGCAUAACUUAAUUUAUGCACAACAUUUUACUUGUUUUAAAUUGUACUAUUGGUUGGUUCACAUUUGGUCUUAAAAUUCUUUUUAUUGUGACUUCGUUUCUUUAAUUUUUAUUCAUUUACUUUAUAUAGAUUUCAUUCAUUUAUUUUGUCUCUUACAACCAGCAUAACUUCAUUUAUGCACAACAUUUACAAUUUGUUUUAAAUUGCACUAUUGGAUGGUUUGUUUAAAUUUUGUCUUAUUUUUAUUGUGACUUUGUUGCUUUACGUUUAUUCAUUUACUUUAUUUGCACAUUUGUAGAUUUACUUUAUUUAAUUUGUCUUCAACAAAUGAAUGCUGGUUGUAGGUUUAUUUUACUUCAUUUAUGCACAACUUUUCCAUUAGUUUUAAAUUGCACUACUGGUUUGUUUGUUUGUGUGGCUUUGCUUAAUUUCCAUUUUAUUUGUGGCUGUUGUUUUAAUUCUUAUUCAUAUUUACUUUACACUUUGUACAUUUAUUUAUUUUUUAACCAGCAUUAAUUUGGGUUAGUUUACACCAUUUAUGCACAAGUUAAUUUUGUUUCAAAUUUGCACUAUUGUUUUCUUUAGUUUUAAUUUUGUUUUCACACUUCUUGUGUCAUUUUUCAUAUUUGCCUUUCACGGUAUUAAAAUGUUUUUGGUCUUUCAUAACUAGCUUUUGUUUGGUUUCUUUUAAUUUAUGCACAACACUUUUACAUUUGUUUUUAAUUGCACUAUUGGUUUAAUUUUGUUUAUAAUGUAGUUUUUCUUUGCUGUGUGUUAUUCUUGUAUUUUGAUUUGAUUGCUUUGGUAUAAUUUACCAUGGUUUUUUUUUAAAACAACAAUUACAAUAAACAUGUUAAUUUGCA